rfam:Oryza meridionalis cultivar OR44 (W2112) chromosome 7, whole genome shotgun sequence.
UUUAAGUGUAGUUGUGGGUUUCAGUGUCGAAAGUUUGACCGUCCGUCUUAUUUGAAUUUUAUAUAAUUAAUAUUUUUAUUGUUAUUUGAUAAAACAUGAAUAGUACUUUGUGCGUGACCUACUUUUCUAAAUUUUUUCAUAAAUUUUUUAAAUAAGACGACGAUCAAACAUUUAACAUGGAAACUCAUGAUUGCACUUAAA